GCAUCCCAUUAUCCAGGGGACGAUGGGAAAUGUGUUUAGGAAGCAUUAAGAGCUAGUUAACAUUAGCUGUUAGCAGCCGGUAAGCAGCACAGUCCUGCAUGGAACUAACAGCUAAAGUUAACGGGAUGUGCCAUUGAUUUAGAUUAUGAUAUGUUCAGUCUCUAUUCUGUAAAAAUGAACCAAAGGAAAAUUCGAACAUUAUCAUGAUAUGUUCAGAUGUAAUCUUGGAAAAUGUAGUUUCUGGUUAGAAACUUGAAUAAAUACAGUUUGAAGUAGAACUGCCCCCUCUUAGUCAAUUAGUUGACUAAUCGGUCAUUUUGCUAUUAGAUUUAUUUAGUUGAUAAGUCAUUUUUUUUAUUCUUCUUCAUGCUAAAUGACUUAUUUCCAAGAAACUUCUGAGCACAUCUCUGGUAAACACAAGAUUUAAAGUGGUACUUUUGGGUCAUUUUUUGUGGAGAAACUCAGUUUUACAGAUCUGUCGAUUAAAUCAACUAAUCGAUUUGUCGACAAAAUCGUUUGAAUGUUAGUGGACUAAGAAUCUCUUUGGCCGAGGACAGCCCUAGUCUUGUUUGUCUUACUUAAAUGCUGCACUCAUAAAUUCACAGUGGCCCAGAAAGAUGGAGAAGUCCACCGUAGUCUGGAAAACAAAAGCUUCAUCUGUCUUAUUUAUAUUUUUACGGGCCUCAUGUGGAACCAUAAACUACCUUUAUCCUGAAUGAAAAGUCUGUCCACGAGUUCACUGCAUUUGUCAUUACUGUAUAAGACCCCGAUAACAGUACGUACGGUUUCUUUCUUUUUUUCCCCUC